AUUGAACGCUGGCGGCAUGCUUUACACAUGCAAGUCGAACGGCAGCGCGUGGCAACCUGGCGGCGAGUGGCGCACGGGUGAGUAAUAUAUCGGAACGUACCCAGAGGUGGGGGAUAAAGUAGCGAAAGUUACGCUGAUACCGCACACGAUCUACGCAUGAAAGUGGGGGACCUCCGGGCCUCAUGCUUUUGGAGCGGCCGAUGUCUGAUUAGCUAGUUGGUGAGGUAAAGGCUCACCAAGGCGACGAUCAGUAGCUGGUCUGAGAGGGCGACCAGCCACACUGGGACUGAGACACGGCCCAGACUCCUACGGGAGGCAGCAGUGGGGAAUUUUGGACAAUGGGCGAAAGCCUGAUCCAGCAAUGCCGCGUGAGUGAGGAAGGUCUUCGGGUUGUAAAGCUCUUUUGUCAGGGAAGAAACGGACGAAGAUAAUACCUUCGGCUAAUGACGGUACCUGAAGAAUAAGCACCGGCUAACUACGUGCCAGCAGCCGCCGUAA
rnacentral:rRNA from 1 species